GACGAACGCUGGCGGCGUGCUUAACACAUGCAAGUCGAACGGAAAGGCCCUGCUUUUGUUGGGUGCUCGAGUGGCGAACAGGGGAGUAACACGUGAGGAACCUGCCCUUGACUUUGUGAUAACUUCAGGAAACUGGGGCUAAUACCGGGUAGGAGCUCCUGCUGCGUGGGGGGGGUUGGUAAGUUUCGGCGGUUGGGGCUGGACUGGCGGCUUAUCAGCUUGUUGGUGGGGUAGUGGCUUACCAAGGUUGUGAGGGGUAGACUGCAUGAGAGGGUGGCCGGCCACAUUGGGCCUGCGAUACGGCCCAGCAUCCUACGGGACGCAGCAGUGGGGAAUAUUGCACAAUGGGCGGAAGCCUGAUGCAGCAACGCCGCGUGCGGGAUGACGGGCUUCGGGUUGUAAACCGCUUUCGCAUGUGACGAAGCGUGAGUGACGGUAAUGGGUAAAGAAGCACCGGCUAACUACGUG
rnacentral:rRNA from 1 species